UAAAUGUAAUUAUAGGUUAUAUAUUAAAUAGUUUGAAAGAAUAUUUAUAUAAUUUUUUAUUAUAUUAAGAUGAGUCAAAACAAAUUGAGACUGUUUUCUUUUUCUGUAAAAAGUAUGUCACUAACAAAUUUCAGAUUUUUAUUACUCUAAAGAACCAUUAUCAAUGCAUCAGUGUGAAUACUUAUGUGGAAAUAUGACAUUAUUUGAUUGCUAGAGUACUUUGCAAAACACAGGUGAGAAAACUUAAAGUCUUGCAAUAUUGUUUACACUAGCAAGUAAAUUGCUAUAUUUUCAGCAAUGACUGUCAGAAAAUACUGUCAUGAGUUCUUGCAUGCUGUAUACACAAGAUAGUUGUAGAUGUCAUGAGAACUAUCACAAUUUCAGUUUUUAUACAUUAAAUCAUGCCACAUAAAUUUGAACAGGUAACAGCUGCAAUAUUAGCAUUAUUGUCAAAUAAAAAGAAAUUCAUUUAGGUCCAACAAUGGAUUUUGAAGUGACUAAAAUUCGGUUGUUUCAACAAUUUAAUUAUAGAACUGCAAAUAGAAGACUCCUGACAAUUUUGAGACUGCAGUAGAUUUUGAGAUUUUGCUAAAAAAAAAUUGGCCAUUUUUAAACUGAAAGAUUCUCAUUUGCAAGAUUCUGUAACACAAUGGAAAAACUCAUCAGAAUGCUACAAAUUUUGGCUUUAAACUUGGUCCAUGCAUCCAGCAAGGAAUAUCAUGUCUUCAUAAUUCUCCUCUUCUCAAUCCAAAAUUACCAGUUUCUCAUAAUAAGACCACUCUGCCCAGAUGACGGUGGUGU